UAGGGAAUAUUGGUCAAUGGGCGGAAGCCUGAACCAGCCAUGCCGCGUGCAGGAAGACGGCCUUCUGGGUUGUAAACUGCUUUUACCAGGGAACAAAUAGGCCAUGCGUGGCAAGUUGAGUGUACCUGGAGAAUAAGCACCGGCUAACUCCGUGCCAGCAGCCGCGGUAAUACGGAGGGUGCAAGCGUUGUCCGGAUUUAUUGGGUUUAAAGGGUACGUAGGCGGGCUAUUAAGUCUGGGGUGAAAGCUUUCGGCUCAACCGGAAAAUUGCCCUGGAUACUGGUAGUCUUGAGUACAGUAGAGGUGGGCGGAAUUCAUGGUGUAGCGGUGAAAUGCAUAGAUACCAUGAGGAACACCGAUAGGGAAGCCAGCUCACUAGACUGUCACUGACGCUGAGGUACGAAAGCGUGGGGAGCGAACAGGAUUAGAUACCCCCGUAGUCC
rnacentral:rRNA from 1 species